CCUACGGGUGGCAGCAGUGGGGAAUAUUGGACAAUGGGGGGAACCCUGAUCCAGCGACGCCGCGUGAGUGAAGAAGGUCUUCGGAUCGUAAAACCCUGUUGUUAGAGAAGAAAGUGCGUGAGAGUAACUGUUCACGUUUCGACGGUAUCUAACCAGAAAGCCACGGCUAACUACGUGCCAGCAGCCGCGGUAAUACGUAGGUGGCAAGCGUUAUCCGGAUUUAUUGGGCGUAAAGGGAACGCAGGCGGUCUUUUAAGUCUGAUGUGAAAGCCUUCGGCUUAACCGGAGUAGUGCAUUGGAAACUGGGAGACUGGAGUGCAGAAGAGGAGAGUGGAACUCGAUGUGUAGCGGUGAAAUGCGUAGAUAUAUGGAAGAACACCGGUGGCGAAGGCGGCUCUCUGGACUGUAACUGACGCUGAGGUUCGAAAGCGUGGGUAGCAAACAGGAUUAGAUACCCGAGUAGUC
rnacentral:rRNA from 1 species